GUGGGGAAUAUUGCACAAUGGGGGAAACCCUGAUGCAGCAACGCCGCGUGAGUGAUGAAGGUCUUCGGAUUGUAAAACUCUGUCUUCAGGGACGAUAAUGACGGUACCUGAGGAGGAAGCCACGGCUAACUACGUGCCAGCAGCCGCGGUAAUACGUAGGUGGCAAGCGUUGUCCGGAUUUACUGGGCGUAAAGGGAGCGUAGGUGGAUAUUUAAGUGGGAUGUGAAAUACUCGGGCUUAACCUGGGUGCUGCAUUCCAAACUGGAUAUCUAGAGUGCAGGAGAGGAAAGUAGAAUUCCUAGUGUAGCGGUGAAAUGCGUAGAGAUUAGGAAGAAUACCAGUGGCGAAGGCGACUUUCUGGACUGUAACUGACACUGAGGCUCGAAAGCGUGGGGAGCAAACAGGAUUAGAAACCCCGGUAGUCC
rnacentral:rRNA from 1 species